UACGAAGGGGGCUAGCGUUGUUCGGAAUUACUGGGCGUAAAGCGCACGUAGGCGGACUAUUAAGUCAGGGGUGAAAUCCCGGGGCUCAACCCCGGAACUGCCUUUGAUACUGCUAGUCUCGAGUCCGGAAGAGGUGAGUGGAAUUCCGAGUGUAGAGGCGAAAUUCGUAGAUAUUCGGAGGAACACCAGUGGCGAAGGCGGCUCACUGGUCCGGUACUGACGCUGAGGUGCGAAAGCGUGGGGAGCAAACAGG
rnacentral:rRNA from 1 species